UGGGGAAUCUUGCGCAAUGGGCGAAAGCCUGACGCAGCGACGCCGCGUGGGGGAGGAAGGUUUUCGGAUCGUAAACCCCUGUUGCCCGGGACGAAUCCCUGGUUUAGACCAGGUUGACGGUACCGGGUGAGGAAGCACCGGCUAACUCCGUGCCAGCAGCCGCGGUAAUACGGAGGGUGCGAGCGUUGUCCGGAAUCACUGGGCGUAAAGGGCGCGUAGGUGGCUUGGUAAGCGUGUGGUGAAAGCCUGGGGCUCAACCCCGGGUCGGCCAUGCGAACUGCCGAGCUUGAGCACUGUAGAGGCAGACGGAAUUCCGGGUGUAGCGGUGGAAUGCGUAGAGAUCCGGAAGAACACCGGUGGCGAAGGCGGUCUGCUGGGCAGUUGCUGACACUGAGGCGCGACAGCGUGGGGAGCAAACAGG
rnacentral:rRNA from 1 species